rnacentral:rRNA from 1 species
GGGGGAUAACAGUUGGAAACGACUGCUAAUACCGCAUAAUGUCUACGGACCAAACGGGGCUUUUAGCUCCGGCGCAAAGAGAGGCCCAAGUGAGAUUAGCUAGUUGGUGAGGUAAAGGCUCACCAAGGCGACGAUCUCUAGCUGUUCUGAGAGGAAGAUCAGCCACACUGGGACUGAGACACGGCCCAGACUCCUACGGGAGGCAGCAGUGGGGAAUAUUGCACAAUGGGGGAAACCCUGAUGCAGCCAUGCCGCGUGUGUGAAGAAGGCCUUCGGGUUGUAAAGCACUUUCAGUUGUGAGGAAAGGUUGGUAGUUAAUACCUGCCAGCUGUGACGUUAACAACAGAAGAAGCACCGGCUAACUCCGUGCCAGCAGCCGCGGUAAUACGGAGGGUGCGAGCGUUAAUCGGAAUUACUGGGCGUAAAGCGCACGCAGGCGGUUUGUUAAGCUAGAUGUGAAAGCCCCGGGCUCAACCCGGGAUGGUCAUUUAGAACUGGCAGACUAGAGUCUUGGAGAGGGGAGUGGAAUUCCAGGUGUAGCGGUGAAAUGCGUAGAUAUCUGGAGGAACAUCAGUGGCGAAGGCGACUCCCUGGCCAAAGACUGACGCUCAUGUGCGAAAGUGUGGGUAGCGAACAGGAUUAGAUACCCUGGUAGUCCACACCGUAAACGCUGUCUACUAGCUGUGUGUGCCUUUAAGGCGUGCGUAGCGAAGCUAACGCGCUAAGUAGACCGCCUGGGGAGUACGGCCGCAAGGUUAAAACUCAAAUGAAUUGACGGGGGCCCGCACAAGCGGUGGAGCAUGUGGUUUAAUUCGAUGCAACGCGAAGAACCUUACCUACACUUGACAUGCAGAGAACUUUCCAGAGAUGGAUUGGUGCCUUCGGGAACUCUGACACAGGUGCUGCAUGGCUGUCGUCAGCUCGUGUCGUGAGAUG